GGCUUUUUGAAUAUAAUUUAAGGUCGGGCCUGCCCAAUGAUAAAAUUAAAUGGCCGCGGUAUAUUGACCGUGCAAAGGUAGCAUAAUCAUUAGUUUUUUAAUUGAAAGCUUGUAUGAAAGGUUUAAUGAGAAAAAUACUGUCUCUAUUUAAAUUUGUUAAAAUUUUAUUUUUAAGUUAAAAAGCUUAAAUAUGUAUUGAAGACGAGAAGACCCUAUAGAGUUUUAUAUUUUGUUUGACAAAUAAUUAUUUAGGAUUUUAAAGAUUUAUUGAACAAAGUAUUUGAUUGGGGUGAUUAAAAAAUUAAUAAAACUUUUUUUGUAUUCUUACAUUGAUAAAUGAGUAAUUGAUCCUUUAUUUAAGAUUAGAAGAUAAAAUUACCUUAGGGAUAACAGCGUAAUUUUUUUUAGAGUUCUUAUCGAAAAGAAAGAUUGCGACCUCGAUGUUGGAUUAAAAUUAAUUAUUGGUGUAGAGGCUAAUAAAUUAGGUCUGUUCGACCUUUAAAUUUUUACAUGAUCUGAGUUUAAACCGGUGUAAG
rnacentral:rRNA from 1 species